rnacentral:rRNA from 1 species
UCAAGUUAUUAAGGGUGCAGGGCGGAUGCCUUGGCACUAGGAGCCGAUGAAGGACGUGAUAAGCUGCGAUAAGCUUCGGGGAGUUGCACGUAAACUUUGAUCCGAAGAUUUCCGAAUGAGGAAACUCACUUAGAGUAAUGUCUAAGUAUCGUAUGAUGAAUACAUAGUCAUGCGAGGGGAACCCGGAGAACUGAAACAUCUAAGUACCCGGAGGAAGAGAAAGAAAUUCGAUUCCGUAAGUAGCGGCGAGCGAACGCGGAACAGGCCAAACCAAUGAAGUUUACUUCGUUGGGGUUGCGGACAUACAACAUGGAUGCAAUAUCGUAAAUGAAGAGAGUUGGAAAGCUCCGCCAUAGAAGGUAAUAGCCCUGUAGUUGAAACGAGAAAGCUACUAGUAUGAUCCAGAGUACCACGGGACACGUGAAACCCUGUGGGAAGCAGGAGGGACCAUCCUCCAAGCCUAAAUACUACCUAGUGACCGAUAGCGCAUAGUACCGUGAGGGAAAGGUGAAAAGAACCCCGGGAGGGGAGUGAAAUAGAACCUGAAACCCUGCACUUACAAGCUGUGGGAGCACAUUACUUGUGUGACCGCGUACUUUUUGUAGAACGGGCCAACGAGUUACGUUAAGUAGCAAGGUUAAGCACUUAAGGUGUGGAGCCGUAGCGAAAGCGAGUCUUAAAUGGGCGAUUAAGUUACUUGGCGUAGACCCGAAACCGGGCGACCUAUCCAUGAGCAGGUUGAAGCGAAAGUAAAAUUUCGUGGAGGACCGAACCCACGAGCGUUGAAAAGCUCGGGGAUGACUUGUGGAUAGCGGUGAAAUUCCAAUCGAGCCCGGAGAUAGCUGGUUCUCCCCGAAAUAGCUUUAGGGCUAGCCUCAAGCGUAGAGAAACGGAGGUAGAGCACUGAAUGUCCUAGGGGGUAUUGCACUUACCGAAGACUAUCAAACUCCGAAUGCCGUUUUCUUUUACUUGGGAGUCAGACUGUGGGUGAUAAGAUUCAUAGUCAAAAGGGCAACAGCCCAGAUCGUCAGCUAAGGUCCCUAAAUGUACGUUAAGUGGUAAAGGAUGUGGGAUUGCACAGACAACCAGGAUGUUGGCUUAGAAGCAGCCACUCAUUUAAAGAGUGCGUAAUAGCUCACUGGUCGAGUGAUCCUGCGCCGAAAAUUUCCGGGGCUAAAACGUACUACCGAAGCUACGGCAUCAUUUAUGAUGGGUAGGGGAGCUUCGUAUGCAGGCUGAAGCAUGACCGUAAGGACAUGUGGACAGUAUACGAGUGAGAAUGUUGGCAUGAGUAGCGAGACGUGGGUGAGAAUCCCACGGGCCGUAAACCCAAGGUUUCCAGGGGAAGGUUCGUCCGCCCUGGGUUAGUCGGGACCUAAGCCGAGGCCGAAAGGCGUAGGUGAUGGACAACAGGUUGAUAUUCCUGUACCGCCAAUAAGCGUUUGAGAGAUGGAGUGACACAGUAGGAUAAGCUAACCGUACUGUUGGUUAUGUACGGCUAAGCAUUGAGGCAGUCUAAAUAGGCAAAUCCGUUUAGACAAUGCUAGGAUGUGAUGGGGAAGCCCUUCGGGGCGAAGUAGCUGAUUUCACACUGUCAAGAAAAGCUUCUAUCGAGUUUAAAGGCGCCCGUACCGUAAACCGACACAGGUGGGUGAGGAGAGUAUCCUAAGGCCAGCGAGAGAACUAUUGUUAAGGAACUCGGCAAAAUGACCCCGUAACUUAGGGAGAAGGGGUGCCUGUCUAUGACAGGCCGCAGAGAAUAGGCCCAAGCGACUGUUUACCAAAAACACAGGUUUCUGCUAAGUCGCAAGACGAUGUAUAGGAGCUGACGCCUGCCCGGUGCUGGAAGGUUAAGGGGAUCUGUUAGAGCAAUCGAAGCAGUGAACUUAAGCCCCAGUAAACGGCGGCCGUAACUAUAACGGUCCUAAGGUAGCGAAAUUCCUUGUCGGGUAAGUUCCGACCC